rnacentral:rRNA from 1 species
CCUAACACAUGCAAGUCGAGCGGUAGCACAGAGAGCUUGCUCUCGGGUGACGAGCGGCGGACGGGUGAGUAAUGUCUGGGAAACUGCCUGAUGGAGGGGGAUAACUACUGGAAACGGUAGCUAAUACCGCAUAAUGUCGCAAGACCAAAGUGGGGGGACCUUCGGGCCUCAUGCCAUCAGAUGUGCCCAGAUGGGAUUAGCUAGUAGGUGGGGUAACGGCUCACCUAGGCGACGUCCCUAGCUGGUCUGAGAGGAUGACCAGCCACACUGGAACUGAGACACGGUCCAGACUCCUACGGGAGGCAGCAGUGGGGAAUAUUGCACAAUGGGCGCAAGCCUGAUGCAGCCAUGCCGCGUGUGUGAAGAAGGCCUCGGGUUGUAAAGCACUUUCAGCGGGGAGGAAGGCG